rnacentral:rRNA from 1 species
GAUGAACGCUAGCUACAGGCUUAACACAUGCAAGUCGCGGGGCAUCAUGGAGGUUGCUUGCAAUUUCUGAUGGCGACCGGCGCACGGGUGAGUAACGCGUAUCCAACCUUCCCAUUACUACGGCAUACCCCGUUGAAAGGCGGCCUAAUUCCGUAUGCAGUCCGAAGCAGUCAUCUAAUUUGGACGAAAGGUAUAUUCUAUCGGUAAUGGAUGGGGAUGCGUCCGAUUAGCCAGCCGGCGGGGUAACGGCCCACCGGGGCAUCGAUCGGUAGGGGUUCUGAGAGGAAGGUCCCCCACACUGGAACUGAGACACGGUCCAGACUCCUACGGGAGGCAGCAGUGAGGAAUAUUGGUCAAUGGGCGUAAGCCUGAACCAGCCAAGUAGCGUGCAGGAUGACGGCCCUAUGGGUUGUAAACUGCUUUUAUGCGGGGAUAAAGUUGGGGACGUGUCCCUU